rnacentral:rRNA from 1 species
GAUGAACGCUGGCGGCGUGCCUAAUACAUGCAAGUCGAGCGAACAGACGAGGAGCUUGCUCCUCUGACGUUAGCGUCGGACGGGUGAGUAACACGUGGAUAACCUACCUAUAAGACUGGGAUAACUUCGGGAAACCGGAGCUAAUACCGGAUAAUAUAUUGAACCGCAUGGUUCAAUAGUGAAAGACGGUUUUGCUGUCACUUAUAGAUGGAUCCUCGCCGCAUUAGCUAGUUGUUAAGGUAACGGCUUACCAAGGCAACGAUGCGUAGCCGACCUGAGAGGGUGAUCUGCCACACUGGAACUGAGACACGGUCCAGACUCCUACGGGAGGCAGCAGUAGGGAAUCUUCCGCAAUGGGCGAAAGCCUGACGGAGCAACGCCGCGUGAGUGAUGAAGGUCUUCGGAUCGUAAAACUCUGUUAUUAGGGAAGAACAAAUGUGUAAGUAACUAUGCACGUCUUGACGGUACCUAAUCAGAAAGCCACGGCUAACUACGUG